GAUGAACGCUGGCGGUAUGCCUAACACAUGCAAGUCGUACGAGAGUUUUUAAUUCUAGUGGCGGACGGGUGAGUAACACGUGAGAAUUUACCUUUAGGAGGGGGGAUAACAAUUGGAAACGAAUGCUAAUACCCCAUAUGCUUUUGAGUGAAAUGGAUUUAUAAUUAUCCGCCUAAAGAAAAGCUCGCGGCUGAUUAGCUUGUUGGUAAGGUAAGAGCUUACCAAGGCGACGAUCAGUAUCUGGUUUGAGAGGACGAUCAGACACACUGGAACUGAGACACGGUCCAGACUCCUACGGGAGGCAGCAGUGGGGAAUUUUCCGCAAUGGGCGAAAGCCUGACGGAGCAAUACCGCGUGAGGGAAGACUGCCUAUGGGUUGUAAACCUCUUUUUUCAGGGAGGAAGUAAAAUGACGUGUACCUGAAGAAUAAGCAUCGGCUAACUCCGUGCCAGCAGCCGC
rnacentral:rRNA from 1 species